rnacentral:rRNA from 1 species
UACGUAGGGUCCGAGCGUUGUCCGGAGUUACUGGGCGUAAAGCGCGCGCAGGCGGCUCGGCAAGCAUGGCGUGAAAGCCCCCGGCUCAACCGGGGAGAGUCGUCGUGGACUGCCGGGCGUUGAGGGCGGCAGGGGUUGGUGGAAUUCCCGGUGUAGUGGUGAAAUGCGUAGAGAUCGGGAGGAACACCCGUGGCGAAGGCGGCCAACUGGGCCGGCCCUGACGCUGAGGCGCGAAGG